rnacentral:tRNA from 1 species
CGGACAGUAGCCGAGUAGCAAGGCGCGCGCUUCGGGAGCGUGAGAUCGCAGGUGCAAUCCCUGUCUGUCCGA